UACGUAGGUGGCAAGCGUUGUCCGGAUUUAUUGGGUUUAAAGGGUGCGUAGGCGGCUUUGUAAGUCAGUGGUGAAAUAUGGCAGCUCAACUGUCAAGGUGCCAUUGAUACUGCGGAGCUUGAGUACAGAUGAGGUACGCGGAAUUGACGGUGUAGCGGUGAAAUGCUUAGAUAUCGUCAAGAACACCGAUAGCGAAGGCAGCUUACUAGGCUGUAACUGACGCUGAGGCACGAAAGUGUGGGGAUCAAACAGG
rnacentral:rRNA from 1 species